GGGACCAUAGCUCAACUGGAAGAGCAUCCGCCUUGCAAGCGGAAGGUAGGGAUUCGAUUCCCCUUGGCUCCA
rnacentral:tRNA from 1 species